rnacentral:misc_RNA from 1 species
UCAUACAAUCGAGGUGCUAGGGGCUGUCGCUGACCUUCGUGCACGCCCUUGGCACUCUCUCGUAUCCAUCUCACCCCUUUGUGCAUUGCCGCGUGGGUCUCCCUUUAAUAAGGGGACUUGCGUUUUUACAUAGACACCGUUUGAAUGUAUGUGUAGAAUGUGUUAUUAUUAUCAAUA